AGCACGCAUAAAUUGUAAGUUGCUUUGGUUAAAAGUGUCUGCUAAAUGGCAUAUA
rfam:Salmo salar isolate Sally breed double haploid chromosome ssa15, whole genome shotgun sequence.